UUGCUUGCUUAGUCAGCAUAUAUACUAAAACUGGAAUGAGACAGAAGAUUAUCAUGGCCUCUGCAACAAGGAUAACACCUGAAUUGUAACAGUUUUGUUUUUCUUGU